rnacentral:piRNA from 1 species
UGUUGGUCACAGGUGAAAUGGUGUCUGA